rnacentral:rRNA from 1 species
GACGAAUGCUGGCUGCGUGCUUAACACAUGCAUGUCGAACGGUGAAAGGGAGCUUGCUCCCUGGAUCAGUGGCGAACGGGUGAGUAACACGUGGGCAACCUGCCCCUCACUCUGGGAUAACUCCGGGAAACCGGGGCUAAUACCGGAUACGACCUGGUGCGACAUCGCACCGGGUGGAAAGAGCUUCGGUGAGGGAUGGGCCCGCGGCCUAUCAGCUUGUUGGUGGGGUAACGGCCCACCAAGGCGACGACGGGUAGCCGGCCUGAGAGGGCGACCGGCCACACUGGGACUGAGACACGGCCCAGACUCCUACGGGAGGCAGCAGUGGGGAAUAUUGCGCAAUGGGCGAAAGCCUGACGCAGCGACGCAGCGUGAGGGACGAAGGCCUUCGGGUUGUAAACCUCUUUCAGCGGGGACGAAGCGAAAGUGACGGUACCCGCAGAAGAAGCACCGGCUAACUACGUGCCAGCCGCCGCGGUAACAC